CAUCAUUUGACGUUAGCAACAGAAGAAGCACCGGCUAACUCCGUGCCAGCAGCCGCGGUAAUACGGAGGGUGCGAGCGUUAAUCGGAAUUACUGGGCGUAAAGACGCAUGCAGGUGGUUUGUUAAGUACAGAUGUGAAAGACCCGGGGCCGUCAACCUCGGAACUGCAUUUGAAACUAGGCAGACUAGAGUACUGUAGAGGGGGUAGAAUUUCAGGUGUAGCGGUGAAAUGCGUAGAGAUCUGAAGGAAUACCAGUGGCGAAGGCGGCCCCCUGGACAAAGACUGACGCUCAGAUGCGAAAGCGUGGGGAGCAAACAGGAUUAGAUACCCUGGUAG
rnacentral:rRNA from 1 species